rnacentral:misc_RNA from 1 species
CCCAACUAUCCCUAUUAAUCAUUACGUCAAUCCUAGAAACCAACAAAAUAGAAUCAAACGUCCUAUUUCAUUAUUCCAUGCUAAUGUAUUCAAGCGCGAGCCUGCUUUAAACACUCUAAUUUUUUCAAAAUAACAGUCCUGAUUUCCUGCGAUACCAAAUUAAUGACAUCGUGGUUUGUCAGAAGGUAGAAUCAAUUUGACCAGUACGUACCGAGGCACGACCGACCAACUGAUCCCAAAAUUUAACUACGAGCUUUUUAACUGCAACAACUUUAAUAUACACUAUUGGAGCUGGAAUUACCGUGGCUGCUGGCACCAGACUUGCCCUCCAA